CGGACCUCUGUGCCUGCCUGGCGUGGCCAACAGCCACUGCUGGACUCACCCCCGUGUCGGAGAUCUUAAAAUGGGAAGAGAAGGUGCAUCUACAGUGAAUCAAAUGUGAUAGAUGAGAAAUGCUUGCCAGUGAGUCUGGUACCUAUACGGAAUGGAUGCUGAGUGUGCAAGUUGUACACCAGGUGGAAGUAGUUGCUUGGGCUGCCGUAACUAAGUGCCACAGACUGGGUAGCUGAAACCACAGACCUUUAUUGCUUCGUAGCUCUGGAGGGUGGAAUUCAGAGAUCAAGGUGUCAGCUGCGCUGGUUGCUUCUCUCUCUGGCUUGUGGAUGUCACCUUCUUGCCAUAUCCUCACAUGGCCUUGCCAAGACCUCUCUGUGUCAUCUGUGUUCCAUCUCCUCUUCUUAUAAGGGCACCUGUCAUAUUGGAUUAGGACCCAUCCCAGUGACCUUGUUUCUACUUAAUCACCUUUCUAAAGAUCCCACCCUCAAACACAGUCACACUGUGAUGCGCGAGGUGUUAGAACUUCAGCAUAGGAAUUCGGGGGUGGGGGCACACAGGUCGGCACAUGACACAGGCCCAGUAGAAGAGAGAUUACCCAGCAGCAAGAAAGUUCAUGAGGGGGUUCAGGGGACAGCAGGACACAUGUGAUCCAGACCCGAAGUUGGUGUUCAGCUGGUAUUCCCUGCUACAGCAAACCUCCAGGGCUCUGUUUUGAUUGCUCCUGCCCAGGCCUAUUUGCUAUUUAAUAUUUUUAAUAGCACUUCUGUUUGGGACCAUGGUGAUGUGAUUAUAAUGAGACUUUUUCCAUGCACCAGUAGAUAAUUACUUGAGCUCCAAGAGAUAUGAAAAGUAAAAUCUGUUUGCUUUGUCCAAGGCACUGGUUGCCAAGUAACCACUUAGCUUCUGAACUUUGACCCAAGUUAGUGGCCAUAACUUAACUUUUUCUUUUUUACUUGCAUGGUUCAUUAAUAUAUAACCCUGUGUUUAGCUUAAUUCUGCGGGAAAUUAGGCUGAACCUUGGCCAUUGUCUUAAGCAAUGAGGAUGUUAUAGUGUGCCUACCUUUCUAAACAUUAUAAAUGAAAAACCAUUGAGUCAUGUGAACAAACACACAUAAAAUAAGAUUGCAAGAUGCAGAAUUUUGGGAGUAUACUAACGACAGUGUGAGAAACAGAGCCAGCUUUCUUUGGAACUGUGGAAGAAGAGUGAGGGCAUCUUGAAAGUCUAAGGUUCUGGGGUGAAGAGAAAAGAGAGAAGCAGCAAACAGCACCAGAAAUCUUUGAUGAUCCUUUGCUUCAUGAACAAAGAGUGACUCUGUGAGGGAAGCCAGUUGCUGUGUUGUGAGCUGCUUAUGGAGGGGGCCUGGGGCCCACCCAGCAAGAAAGGAGAGCCUCUUGCCAGCAGCCGGUGAGGAACUGAAUCCUGCCAACAACCACAAAGGGGGCCUAUAAGCGAAUUCUUCUCCAGUUGACUCUUUUAAUGAGACGGUUGCCCAGGCUGACAGUUAACUGCAGUCUUCUGAGAUGAGAUUCGAUAAGCCAGAGGUACCCAACUAUGCUGUACCUGCAGCUUCUGAUCCACAGAGACUAGGAGAUAUUACAUGUGUGUUAUUUUAAACUGCUAAAUUUUGGGGAAAUGUAUCAUAAAGCAAUAAAUAACUAAAUAACACAAUUUUCUUCCUCACUUUCCUACUGGCAUUUUCUUCACUUCCCAAAUAAACCAUUUGUACUUGAAUCCUUGAUUCAAGGUCUUUUUCUGAGGGAAGCUCAAAUUUCUAUUUCUGGGGGAGCUCAAGUUACACACACACACACACACACGCACACACGCACAGAAAUGCAGGCCAAGAGAGAGGCAGGGAUUCCUGAGAUCCUAACAGAGAUAGACUCGGACUCUUGGUCUUGAGUCUGUGAUCAGGCCCCACUUUCUACUGGGGGAGCACUAGGAGGGGGAAUGGGUGAGGAGCAGAGUGACUGUGGAGCUUGCUGUCAGAGUACCUGGUUUCAAGUUCGACCCCUCCCUGUUCUUCUGGGAUGAUGACUGAGGUGUUUAGUACUCCAGGGACUAAGUUUUCUCAUGUGAAGAAUUCUAGGAACCAAAUGAAAUGCCUGGG
ensembl:lncRNA